UUAAAUUCGUUGAUUGAGAAGAGUAAUACCAUAAAAAUCAAUUCUCUAGCGAGCUUGUGACGGUGAAAGACAAGCAGAAAAGAUCGGUAUGAAUGGCCUCAUGAGAAGCAGGGUGAAAUAAAGUAGCCUGCGCCGGGAGUUCCCGUUAUUGAACAAGAAUAUUAAAGUCUUAAAUGAUGGCGUAUUCGAUGAAGGAGAAAUGAACAUUUCUUAAAUUUGGGUGGUACCACGAGCGAUUCGUCCCAAUG
rnacentral:ncRNA from 1 species